rnacentral:rRNA from 1 species
AACGAAGUCUUCGGACUUAGUGGCGGACGGGUGAGUAACGCGUGAGAACCUGUCUUUAGGAGGGGGACAACAGUUGGAAACGACUGCUAAUACCCCAUAUGCCGAGAGGUGAAAGAUUAAUUGCCUGAGGAUGAGCUCGCGUCUGAUUAGCUAGUUGGUGGGGUAAGGGCCUACCAAGGCGACGAUCAGUAGCUGAUUUGAGAGGAUGAUCAGCCACACUGGGACUGAGACACGGCCCAGACUCCUACGGGAGGCAGCAGUGGGGAAUUUUCCGCAAUGGGCGAAAGCCUGACGGAGCAAGACCGCGUGCGGGAGGACGGCCUGUGGGUUGUAAACCGCUUUUGAUAGGGAAGAAGAUCUGACGGUACCUAUCGAAUCAGCAUCGGCUAACUCCGUGCCAGCAGCCGCGGUAAUACGGAGGAUGCAAGCGUUAUCCGGAAUUAUUGGGCGUAAAGCGUCCGUAGGUGGUUGAGUAAGUCUGCUGUUAAAGCGUGGAGCUUAACUCCAUACCGGCAGUGGAAACUACUGGACUAGAGUGCGGUAGGGGUCAGGGGAAUUCCCAGUGUAGCGGUGAAAUGCGUAGAUAUUGGGAAGAACACCGGUGGCGAAAGCGCCUGACUGGGCCUGCACUGACACUGAGGGACGAAAGCUAGGGGAGCGAAAGGGAUUAGAUACCCCUGUAGUCCUAGCUGUAAACGAUGGGCACUAGGCGUUGGCCGUAUCGACC